rnacentral:lncRNA from 1 species
CCACAGCAGCGAUCAGAGCUGCUGCAUCCAGCUGUGAGGCUGCAGAGCCAGAAACGCGUGCGACCUGAAAGGGAACACAUUUCUAGAGGGCCUCGGGCCAAGGUGGAGGUGAUGAGGGCAGGAUGCGGAGGCCAGCGGAGGACAAGUGCUGACUGGCAUGGGGAUGCUAUGGGUGGGGGGACGGUCAGGAAUUAGCAGCUGAUUUCAAGCGUUGGGAGGAGGUGCGGAGACAAGGAGGCAGCGGCUGGGGUGAUUCCAGAGUAAUUAGGGUGGAAAAUUCUGGAGCAUCCUCGCUGCUUCCCUCAGGACAGAGGCUGCGUGUUUCUCAGCUCUGUCCUGGCAGCGGCUGGCGGAGCAUGUGUGGGCUUCAUUGAAUACGCUGCCCGAGUGUCUUGCAGCUUUUCCCAGGCGUCUUCUGUGUCUCCUGGUCCCCACGGCUGCAACUUCGACAACUGAGUUCUCUUGCUCUGGCUGCAUUUCAGGACAAGAGCAUGCCUGCUUGAGGUGCCUAGAAUCCUGGCUGGACCCAAAACACUGCAGACUACUUGGUUUCUGUCCAAGGACAGCCCCAAUGGCCUGGACAGGAUGAAUGAAUGAGCGCGUGAGAGAAGGGGGUGCCCUUGGAGCUGCCGUGCGGAGGACCGAGCAUUGGGAGUGAAGAACAGAGGCAGAGCGAGGAGUUGAGAGGCUACGGCAGUCAGGCUGCUGCU